UACGUAGGGUGCAGGCGUUAAUCGGAAUUACUGGGCGUAAAGCGUGCGCAGGCGGUUUGUUAAGACAGAUGUGAAAUCCCCGGGCUUAACCUGGGAACUGCGUUUGUAACUGGCAAGCUAGAGUGUGGCAGAGGGGGGUGGAAUUCCAAGUGUAGCAGUGAAAUGCGUAGAUAUUUGGGGGAACACCAAUGGCGAAGGCAGCCCCCUGGGUUAACACUGACGCUCAUGCACGAAAGCGUGGGGAGCAAACAGG
rnacentral:rRNA from 1 species